AGAAUCAACGCUGGCGGCGUGCCUAACACAUGCAAGUCGAACGAGAAAGUGGAGCAAUCCAUGAGUAAAGUGGCGCACGGGUGAGUAACACGUGACUAACCUACCCUCGAGUGGGGAAUAACUUCGGGAAACCGAGGCUAAUACCGCAUAAAACCUAAGGGUCAAAGGAGCAAUCCGUUUGAGGAGGGGGUCGCGGCAGAUUAGUUAGUUGGCGGGGUAAUGGCCCACCAAGACGAUGAUCUGUAUCCGGCCUGAGAGGGCGCACGGACACACUGGAACUGAAACACGGUCCAGACUCCUACGGGAGGCAGCAGUGGGGAAUUUUGCGCAAUGGGGGAAACCCUGACGCAGCAACGCCGCGUGGAGGAUGAAAUCCCUUGGGAUGUAAACUCCUUUCGAUCGGGAAGAUAAUGACGGUACCGGAAGAAGAAGCCCCGGCUAACUUCGCGCCAGCAGCCGC
rnacentral:rRNA from 1 species